UACGGAGGGGGCAAGCGUUGUUCGGAAUUACUGGGCGUAAAGGGCGCGCAGGCGGCUGCUCAAGUCAGGCGUGAAAGGCCUGGGCUCAACCCGGGAAUUGCGCUUGAGACUGGGCUGGCUUGAGUGCGGGAGAGGAUGGUGGAAUUCCCAGUGUAGAGGUGAAGUUCGUAGAUAUUGGGAAGAACACCGGUGGCGAAGGCGGCCAUCUGGACCGCAACUGACGCUGAGGAGCGAAAGCGUGGGGAGCGAACAGG
rnacentral:rRNA from 1 species